rnacentral:tRNA from 1 species
GGUGGGAUGCCGGAGUGGCUGAACGGGGUGGUCUCGAAAACCACUGUCCGCUUUGCGGACCGGAGGUUCAAAUCCUCCUCCCACCGCCG